GAGCGGAGCGGGAAGGGGGAUGUGAAGCAGAGCGAGCGCAACCUCUUCUUAAAGGGCCAGUGGCAGGCAAGGGGUCGGGGCUGGACUGCAACUGCUCCGGCUUUAUGUUUCACGAGUGUUUCCUCCUCACCCUGGAAAAGAGGAGUCUGUAGGCAACCCCCUCCUUUGGGGACAUGGGGGCUUGUCCCCAUUGCACAGAUGGGGAAACUGAGGCACAGCCAAGGGAGGCGCCUGGCUCAGCAGGAGGGCCAGGGACUAGGCUGCUGGGAGGCCCCCAAAACGCCCAGACCCCGCUAGGAAAGACCAAAAGGAGACCAACCCCAGCCUACAGCCUCAUCUCUCCUGUGCAAAGACCUGCGGCUUCUGCAAACGGAUUUGUGGCUCGAGGAUUGGACUUUUCCGUCAUCCCAAGACCCGUCACUGAGCCGUGGCAGAGAUCAUCCCUGAAUGCAGGGAUUGGCAUUGCCGAUGCUAACGCUUCUCCGACUUGAAAGGGUCUCAACAGGCUGCAAACGCCUCGCUUGUAACCUCAGCCUUUGCCAUGUCUGCACAUGCCAGGCUUUUCCUUGUAACACUAUUCAGAUCUUCCCUGUUCCAGGAAAACAUAUUCACCUACCCCUUUAUCAGAAAGGCCUGAGUUUUAUGGGAUGCAAUUAUGCCUUUUUACUGCUGAUUGAGCCAUCAUGAUCUCAUGCAUAAUACAGCAAGCUAAUCAGGCCUUUGCCAUGAUUGACUCUCUCAUAAUUCAGGUUUUAAUGCUGUUUCAGUAUUGGUCUGUCCUUGUUUUCUUCGUUCUUUUUUCCUUUCCACCACCCAUUUCUUUUAAGGUCUAUUUAUAGGGAGAUAGGAAGUAGUUAAUAAUUCCAUAUUUCUCCGUGUCCGCUAGUCAGACAUACAAACUCCAUCCAGCCCUGCUGCUGAAAGAGACUAGAAAUAAUAACAGGAUCAUCUGGGUCAGCUACCGGAGAGGGGUGUUGUGUUGUGGGAUGCUUUCCAACCCCUUUCCUACCACCACUAGGAAGGCAAGCAGCCUGUCUCUCUCAGCCCCUGUUAAAGGGGGUAACAGGCAGAGCUGCCCUAAACAGCUCUCUCUCUAUACUGAACACUCUGCAUAUUGGCUCUAGUUGAUUAGUUCUUGUCUUAGUUUAGCUUCACGUCUAUUCAAAUACUGUGUUACAAGUAGCUAUUCUGCUUUACACUGGAACAGAGAACAAACAAUUUAAGUGAUAUUUAUUUUACUAGACCUGAGCUUGAUUCAGAAGAUGACUGUUUUAAUUUACGUGUUUGCCUUCAUUAAGAGCCAUAGGUGAGAACCACAGAGGUUAAUUUAAAGAGGAAGCUAGGAGAGCUCCUAAGGAAAUUAGCUAACGCUCAAUGGUUCUGGUCCAGUGGUUCAUUGAAAGAAAUAUAAUUCAAUAUUCAUAAGUGUAAGUAGUAAAAGUUAAAAAUCAGGAAAAUACAGGUUAAACUACAAGCAUGCUAAAUUAAAGAUCAAGCAGCACAAUUAUCAAAUUCAGGUCAGAUUAAAAUCAAUAACCAAAAACAAAUUAACAGUGAAUGAAACUCCAUCAAUUACAUUCUUAUGGAACCUAAAACAGACCAUCUAAAUGAGACUACUAAUUUAAUGAUAAAUCCCAGUGAGGAUAUUGUCUAUGAUGGUACAACCAUCCUAGCUAGUUGACUGUGUGACUAUUAAGCCAAAUUAUCCUGUUAUCUUUAAAUUACUUUUUUCAGUUAAAUCUAAGAUCAUCUUAAGAUUUCACAGUUAUGUAUGCUCACCAAAUGGCUUUCUUACCUCCCAGCUUUAACACGGUGAUAUGCAGGCAUUAUCACUGAUAGCUUCUAGGUGCUUUCAUAAAAAAACAUA